GAUGAACGCUGGCGGCGUGCCUAAUACAUGCAAGUCGAGCGAACAGACGAGGAGCUUGCUCCUUCGACGUUAGCGGCGGACGGGUGAGUAACACGUAGGUAACCUACCUAUAAGACUGGGAUAACUUCGGGAAACCGGAGCUAAUACCGGAUAAUAUUUCGAACCGCAUGGUUCGAUAGUGAAAGAUGGCUUUGCUAUCACUUAUAGAUGGACCUGCGCCGUAUUAGCUAGUUGGUAAGGUAACGGCUUACCAAGGCAACGAUACGUAGCCGACCUGAGAGGGUGAUCGGCCACAUUGGAACUGAGACACGGUCCAGACUCCUACGGGAGGCAGCAGUAGGGAAUCUUCCGCAAUGGGCGAAAGCCUGACGGAGCAACGCCGCGUGAGUGAUGAAGGUCUUCGGAUCGUAAAACUCUGUUAUUAGGGAAGAACAAACGUGUAAGUAACUGUGCACGUCUUGACGGUACCUAAUCAGAAAGCCACGGCUAACUACGUG
rnacentral:rRNA from 1 species